rnacentral:rRNA from 1 species
CCUACGUGAGGCAGCAGUGGGGAAUAUUGGGCAAUGGGCGCAAGCCUGACCCAGCAACGCCGCGUGAAGGAAGACGGCUCUCGGGUUGUAAACUUCUUUUAUCAGGGACGAAGCAAGUGACGGUACCUGAUGAAUAAGCCACGGCUAACUACGUGCCAGCAGCCGCAGUAAUACGUAGGUGGCAAGCGUUAUCCGGAUUUACUGGGUGUAAAGGGCGUGUAGGCGGGAAAGCAAGUCAGAUGUGAAACCCAUGGGCUCAACCUGUGGCCUGCAUUUGAAACUGUGUUUCUUGAGUACUGGAGAGGCAGACGGAAUUCCUGGUGUAGCGGUGAAAUGCGUAGAUAUUAGGAGGAACUCCAGUGGCGAAGGCGG